rnacentral:misc_RNA from 1 species
AAGUCGUAACAAGGUUUCCGUAGGUGAACCUGCGGAAGGAUCAUUAAAGAAAAGGGAACCCUUCGGGGUUCAACCUUCAACCCUAUGUUUUAAUUACCUGUUUCUUUGGCGGGUUGCCCGUCAGAAGUUUUCUCAAACCCAUUAUAAACGUGUCAUCUGAAUGAAAAACUAAAUGAAUUAAAACUUUCAACAACGGAUCUCUUGGUUCUG